rnacentral:rRNA from 1 species
UACGAGGGGGGCAAGCGUUGUUCGGAAUUACUGGGCGUAAAGGGUGCGUAGGCGGUUCGUUAAGUCUGUUGUGAAAUCCCCGGGCUCAACCUGGGAAUGGCAAUGGAUACUGGCGGGCUAGAGUGUGUCAGAGGAUGGUGGAAUUCCCGGUGUAGCGGUGAAAUGCGUAGAGAUCGGGAGGAACAUCAGUGGCGAAGGCGGCCAUCUGGGACAACACUGACGCUGAAGCACGAAAGCGUGGGGAGCAAACAGG